AGUAAAACUCACCACACAAAAAAAAUAAAAAUAAUUUUUAAAAUAAAAAAAUAAAAGCAAAAUGUUUAUUAGGUGUCUCAAUAUAAACGUUUGAAAAAUUCCGCAGAAGCGCGAACAAGGCCGCCAGAUGUGCAGGCAGCGGAGGAGGAGGAAGAGAUGGACCUCCCGGAAUCGGCCUCAAGGGUCUUCUGCAGCCGCAUCAUGAGCAAGGUGAACACAGAUGACGUCAACGUCAUCAUCCUGGCCCAGAAGAACAUGCUGGACCGCUUUGAGAAGACCAAUGAGAUGCUGCUGAACUUCAAUAACCUGUCCAGUGCCCGCCUGCAGCAGAUGAGCGAGUGCUUCCUGCACCACACGAGGACCCUGGUAGAGAUGAAAUGGGACCUGGUCAGCAUCUUCCGCCAGACCAGGACACUGAAAGGGAAACUGGUCCAGCAGCACCCAGAGGCCUUCAGCCACAUCCCGGAGGCAUCCUUCCUGGAGGAUGAGGAUGAAGACCCCAUCCCACCCAGCACCACGAUCACCAUCGCUACCUCAGAGCAGAGCACGGGCUCCUGUGACACCAGCCCUGACACCAUCUCACCCUCCCUGAGCCCCGGCUUCGAGGACCUGUCCCAUGUCCAGCCCAGUCCCCCAGCCAUCAAUGGGCGCAGCCAGACAGAUGAUGAGGAGAUGGGCGAGUAGCCCUGCUGCCUGGUGCCUUGAGGGUCUCAGGGCAGCGGCAUACAAGGUGGCAGCAGAUGACCCUGCCUUGUUCUGUCACCCAGGGUGCCUUUGCUGCCCCAUUCUGUCACCCAGGCUCCCAGGGAGACAGGGCUCUCUCGAAGGGUGUGGAUUGCUGAGGGGGGUCUUUCAUUCUGGCUCCUUCCUUCCUCAGAACACAUCUCCUCUGCAAGACUCCUCUGCCAUGCCAGGGCAUGCCCAUCCCAGCAGGAGUUGCGGGGCUGGGCACGGGAAUUUUUCCAGAGCUGAGCCUCAUGUCUGCUGUGAAUAAUGCUUAAAAAGGUUCCCAGAGACCAGAGCCAGAUGUCCCCCACCUCUGGUCAGGACCUCCUUGAGGCGCACAAGCAUGGUCUCGUGUGAGUUCGCCCCCGCUCACCCCUGCACCCGCUAAUUCUGCUUUUCCUGCCCUUUCCUCUGUAAAACUAUCAAAUACUUUCUCCUCGGUAUCUCAAGGAAGUUUCUGAAAUAGGUCAAAGGCUCAAGAGGAAGGCUGGCGGGCCGUCCAUUCAGCCCUGAGCGUGCUGAGGCCUGUUUCUCGGAACACAGGUUAGUGGAACCUGAGGGCUCAGUAGGCCUCUCUGAGGGCCUCCAUGGAACAAACGGAGCCACUCGGGAAAGAAUUUAAUGGGAUAUUUUUGUACCCGAUGUUUACAGAUGCUAUUGGGAAGCUAUCAAUAAAAAGACACCAUUACUAAAAAGGGGAAAAAAAAGAAAAAAGAAAAA